rnacentral:lncRNA from 1 species
UCUUCUAUUAAGCAAGGUAUUAGAGAUUUUCAGAAGUAUAAAAUACUAUGCUUCCCUUUUAUUUACUUUCUUGAAAAAUAUAUUUACCUCUUAUAAUCUUAGGUUAAAUUUAAUAUAUUAGCUUUUAACUUAAAAACUUUGUUUACAUAUAGCAAAUAACAAGAGAUAAGUUGACUAAAACUCUCUGGAAGCUAAAUUGUUUUUCAGAGCAUAAAAGAAACUAGACCUGAGUCUAGACUAACAGUGAUUAGUCCGCCAUGUGUCACUCAGAGGUUAAAAGCUAAUAGUAGUGUUGGUAUGAAUUCAGGGUAUGAGUGAGCUCUGAAAGGAUCACCAGUAACUAAGAGUAGUGGUAACCUUCAUAAUAAGAUAGGAGAAGCUCGGAGGAUUGGAUAGAAGAAGAAAAGAGAGGAAACUUCCUCCUCUUCCUCCUCCUCUUUCUCUUCCUCCUCCUCUUCUUCCUCACCUUCUUCCUAUUCCUCCUCUUCCUCUUUCUCCUCUUCUCCCCCUCCUCCUCUUCUUCCUCCUCACCUUCUUCUUUCUUCUCCUCCUCCUCUCCUUCCUUCCCCUUCUUUUUUUUUUUAAAUUACAUUUGUUUUUUGUUUUUUUUGUUUUUUUUUUUUUUCUGAGACCAGAUCUCAUUUUCUAGUCCUGGAACUCACUAUGUAGACCAGGAUGACCUAGAAUUCAUUCUAUCUGCCUCCAAAUUCUAGAAUUAAAGGCAUGUAUCACCACAGCUGGCUCAUUUUACAUUUUUCAUUUUUGCUUCUUAUAACCAUUAUGUGUGUUCCACGUGGAAUGCUGUUAGGAGUUAUCAGGAAAAAAUAUCAGAAAUAAAGUUCUGCCCUGGGUCCUAUCAGAUAGGAAGUGAUUCUCUUUCUUUUCAGAUCUGCAGUAGUACGAAGGUCUAAUACCAGCCCCAUGGGCUUCCUCCGGGUUGGGUCCUGCUCCCCUGUACCAGGAGACACAGUGCAGACAGGAGGACGAAGACUCUCUACUGGCUCUUCCAGGCCUUACUCACCAUCCCCUUUGGGUGAGGAGAAUUGAAUGCAGUCAAUUAAAACCUGUUUCUUCCCUGUAACAAAUCUGAUAAAGUACAUUCUCAAGAUAAUGAAACAGUGCUUUUAAGCAGAUUAUAUUCUCAAGAUAAUGAAAUAGUGCUUUUAAGCAGACUGUAGAACAUUAUCUGUUGUGCUGUAUCCUUCUCCCAACUUCACCAUAAAAAUCUCUAUUUGAACCUGCAGGGUGGCUCAGCAGUUGCUUGUCAGGGAAGCAUGAAGACUGGAGUUCAGAUUUGUCAGAACUCAAAAAAAUGCUGGAUGGGUUUGGUGACCUACCUGUAAUUCUAGCCCUAAAAGGCAAAAAAAGGAGAUUCCUACCUGUUUCCCCCUAGCAAACUGGUGACUUCUGCAUUUGAUUGAGAGACUGUGUCUCAAAGACUAUGGAGGAAGAAUAAUCAAGAGACACACAGAAGAAAAAAGC